GACAGAGGGUGCAAACGUUGCUCGGAAUCACUGGGCGUAAAGGGCGUGUAGGCGGGAAUGUAAGUCGGGCGUGAAAUCCCUAGGCUCAACCUAGGAACUGCACUCGAAACUGCGUUCCUUGAGUACUGGAGAGGAAAGCGGAAUACCUGGUGUAGAGGUGAAAUUCGUAGAUAUCAGGUGGAACACCAGCGGCGAAGGCGGCUUUCUGGACAGUAACUGACGCUGAGACGCGAAAGCGUGGGGAGCAAACAGG
rnacentral:rRNA from 1 species